rnacentral:rRNA from 1 species
AUUGAACGCUGGCGGCAUGCUUUACACAUGCAAGUCGAACGGUAACAGGGUGCUUGCACCGCUGACGAGUGGCGAACGGGUGAGUAAUGCGUCGGAACGUGCCGAGUAGUGGGGGAUAACGCAGCGAAAGUUGUGCUAAUACCGCAUACGUACUGAGGUAGAAAGUGGGGGACCUUCGGACCUCGCGCUAACAGAUGAGCCUAGGUCGGAUUAGCUAGUUGGUGGGGUAAUGGCCCACCAAGGCGACGAUCCGUAACUGGUCUGAGAGGAUGAUCAGUCACACUGGAACUGAGACACGGUCCAGACUCCUACGGGAGGCAGCAGUGGGGAAUAUUGGACAAUGGGCGAAAGCCUGAUCCAGCCAUGCCGCGUGUGUGAAGAAGGUCUUCGGAUUGUAAAGCACUUUAAGUCGGGAGGAAGGGCUGUAGGCUAAUACCUUGCAGUUUUGACGUUACCGACAGAAUAAGCACCGGCUAACUUCGUGCCAGCAGCCGCCGUAACAC